rnacentral:tRNA from 1 species
GAAAAACUAGUUAAGAAAUAACAUAGGCCUGUCAGCCCUACAUCACUAGUUAAACCCUGGUGUUUUUCA